ensembl:ncRNA Y66D12A.28 ncRNA
UAAAUUCCUUGGCGGCCGGCGCCGCGCCUCCCUCACUGUCAUGCGCGGGGGGCCGAAGAUGGACAAAAGCCGAAGGUCAAGCUGCCAUCACGAUGUUUCUCAAUUU